UUAUGCAUUACUAAAAUUUAACUUCUUGUUAUUACCAAACAUAUUCAAAAUUUUUAGGAAUAUCGUGAGUAAGAGCAACAUUUGAGAUCAAACUUAAAACAAUCAUCAAAAAGAAGCUUUUUUGCAACAAAGUUUUAAAAGACUUUGUUUUAGGUAUUUUUUAGUGUUUUGACCCAACAUUUUCAGCUGAUGGACAUAUUAUUUUUGCAGCAUUAUGUUAUAUCAAAAUGAAGGUCAGAACUCAUACCUCGCUUUCCUGUUGAAAGACGUUAGGUUACUACUGAGUUAGUUAUUAUUGUCAAUUAGAUUAAAGGAAAAUUUGUUGGAAAGAUUUUUUAAAAAUUUUUACUUUGCACUUAAAAAUCCCUGAAGAGUAUUUGACACCAGUGAUAAACCGUUAGAAAGGGGAUUCAAUAAGCUUCAAAAUGAGUUUGAAUGGUUGGGUUUACCUGAUGUAUUUUCUGAGCCAUCGAAAAAAUGUUAAAAUUAGACUAUUUUAAGAAAUUUUAACUUCAAGGCUUCACAGCUCGGGAAGGAGUGUCCAAAAAGUUAAAUGUCUGUACGUGUUUCUAUCACCGGGUGGGAGUACUGUUGGGUCCCGAAUAUAUAGCAUAUAUUUAUAUAUACAGCAUAUAUAUAACAAAACAUUUACUAAAAUCAACAUACACAAAGUAUUAAAUCUGCAAGCAUAAAAUAUUUUUAAACGAGUCUCAUUGGCGCGGGUCAGAGGCGAGAGCCGAAGGGAGAUGAGGUCUAAUUACUCUUAAAAAUGGCCUCCCUGCCAGUUGCAAACGAAGAACUUAGUGACAGUUAAUUGUUAUGCUCAGCCAAAUUCUCCGUUUGAAAUUUAUAAUAAACUCUCGCUGGCAGGUGUAUAAUUUGUUUAGGAGUCUAAAUGUAACAGAUGAGGAUAUUGUUUGUGGCGGUGUUAGUAUUUCUAGUUUGAGUUAGAGUGGUCUUGACAAAGGGCCUUAUCUGAUCCUAAUUGCUAUUACAGCUGACUUUGAGAUGUCUUUUAUAGACUCAAUCCGCCUAAAAUGCCUUUAAAAGAUCUCUUUUGUUCUAAAUCAUCAAUAAAACCAAUUUACUUAUUUUUUACUUCCGACUGAUGUAAGAUUUUUUUUAUCGAAUAUCCUGACCUUUUGAACGAUUUUUUUUCGACCUAUGAUUUUUCUUUAGUAUUUGAAUCAGCACUCUGCUUCCCCAGAAUAUCAAUAAGAAGAAGAUGAAAAAUAAUCUCGAGGAACUGUGCAGGAGUUGAAUGCAAUUCUAUCUUCCAAACACAUCAAUGCCAUCUUCACCAUUGUACGCAAUUAUUUGUCAAGAAAAAGCUUUUCCGGAAUAGAAUUUUACGGUUACCAAUCUGGUAACCGAAACUUCAAUUUUCUAUCCGAAACUUCUAUUUUCAAUAAUGGCAUGGAAGAUGAAUAUUAGACUGACGUUAUUUAUACCGAUUUCAGGGUAGCUUUAGAUUUUCUUCCUCACGAAAUAAUUAUUUUAAAAUUAGGACUACGUGGUUUUACCUAACAAUUUGAUAAAUUACAUAAACUCAUACUUAGGGAGGAGAUGUUCAAGAGCUCAAGGGUUGCAAGGUCUCCUCCUUUGAAGGAAGUUAGAAGGAAAACCAUACAUGGUUAUAAAGAAAGUAUGAAGAAGACAACAAAAGUAAAACCUCUGAUGGUAAUUUAAAAGGGCAGUUACAUUUGGAAAAGUGGACCAAUCGUCGAUUCGAGUACAAGCGAUUUGAGGAACAGAGGUUCCUCUGUAAAGGCUGAAAAAUGAUCUGCAAACUUAAGACAGGAAAUUUAAAAUUAUUGGGACAGCCGAAAGCAGUUGCAAAUGACUGAAAGACAAAAUAAGUCGAAUCGUGUAUGAAACAAAUGAGAGGAAAAGUUGGCUAGAGAAACCGAUUGGAUUCUUUAAACCAAAAGAAACUUAAAGCAGAGAAAGCCAAGAGUUCACCAAAAAUUGAACCGACACUAGAAAUAAUUAGCACUAACGUAGAAAAAUCUCAAUCAAGGAGAAAUACUCAAGUUAAAAAACAUAAACUUCCGCCGAUAAUAAUAAGUAAUAUAACUUUUACACGGAGUUAAUAAGGAUCCUCUUAGAGAAAAGUAUUGUUGUGAAGGUAAACAUGAUGAACAAUGAUCAACUAAAAAUAAAUGUUGAAAAUGAAAAUGAAUAUAGACAAUUAACUAAAGCUGCUAUUAAAGUCAAAUUGUGAAUUCCAUACGUUGCUUAUAAAAAUAAAUUGAUAGGGUCAAUUAAAGUAAUGGCCAGAAAUCUACAUCCACCAAGUGAACCACAGGAUAUCAAGUGUGAAAGAAAAAAGGAUUGAAAUGCGUAGAUACAAUAAAAAAAAUAAAAAAAAUAAAGGGAAAUGAGGUAAAUAGUAUUAGAAAAUUACCCUUUUCCACGUCCUUCGACUAUACCGAAGAUAAAGGUAAAAUACAUAAAAUAGAAUAUCAUAGCACAUGUAGUAAAAGUUGAGCCUCUUAGAAGUAAUGGAUUCAUUAAGAUUACUUCUAAGAUACUUGAUGGAUGAAAUUGGCUAAAAUUAAAAUUAUCGAGACAUAUAUUAGCAAUCAAUUAAAAAACUACUUACAUAAUGAAAAUCUUACGUGUGAGCUACAAUAUGGUUUUACAAAAAAGGCUAACACUAAUGCUGCGUUAUUUGACGUAAUAACUUAUAUACAAAAAGGAAUUUAUAUACAAAUGGAAUAAAAAAUAAUUAUAACAAUAUGGUUUGAAUGUGGAAUAAAUGGAAAAGAAUUAGAAUGGUUUCAAAACUACUUUCAGGACAGAAAACAAUAUUCACAAUGCGAAAUAUUAGAAUGCAAAAUCAAAAGUAUUGAUGAAGGUAUUGAAAAAUCGAACAACUUCGGUGUUAUACAAGGUAGUGCACUAGGACCAGCGUUAUUUUCAUGUUACAUAAGCAGCAUUACUAAACUUAACUUACGUGGUACAAUAUUUUUGUAUGCGAAUGACCUGGUGUUUCUAUACCGAGAAUGUAACAUUGCUAUUCUACAAGAAUAAAAUGCAUCAACAUGUAAAAAAUGUAACAAUGAUGUAUCAACAAAAACUAACAGUAAGUGUUGACAUGACCAAAUACAUGUUAUUCAAAAAGUACAAAUUAUUCUAAUAAAAUAUGAUAAUUUUUCCAUAAAAAAGGUCUGUAGAUACAAGGAUCUUAGAAUUACAAUAGAUAAUAUGCUACAUUAGAACGAACAUGUAAAUGAAUUAAUACCAAAAGUUGCAAGAAUAGCAGUUUGUUCAACAAAAUUGGUAAAAGAAUACCAUUGGCUGUGAAGAAAUUCUUGCUACAGCUUAUUUCAUAAUAUCACAAUAUUGUAUGGUAUUAGCAUAAGGGGUAAUACAUACAGCAAAAACAUAAAUGAGUUGCAGGAAAUACAAAACAAGGCAAUUAAAAACUUAUAUGGAUUAGAUAAAAGAACGCCAACUAAUUUCAUUCACAUAAAUUAUUAAAUAUUCAAAUUAGAUGAAUUCAAAAUUUUUAUGCAAAUAUUGCAAGUUUAUCAAAUGAAAAACAACAAUAUAAAAAGCAAUACUGUGUUAACAACGAACUCCGAAGUUCAUCAAUAUAAUACAAUCAUUUACGUUUCACCGAGCAAACAAUUGUAAUGGUUUUGAACCAAUUAUGAAUUCGGCAAUAUUUCAAUACAAUAGAUUACAUGAAAGCAUCAAAUCUUUAACUCUAAAAUAAAAUUUAAAAAUGAAGCGCAAAAAGAGCUACUUAAAUAAUACAACGGAUAAUGAGCAGCAAAGGCAAUACCGGUACUGAGUAAAUAAUUAGACAAUUUUAUAAGUUUAAUAUUUUAUAAAUUCAUAAUUAAUUUUGGCUUUUGAUUUCAAUUUUCUUUUUUAAAAUUAAAAGUUUUACUUUUGUGAAUUUAAAUAAGCUAUUUAUAUAAAUUCUAUAAAUUUUGGCUUUUUAAUUUACUACUGCUUUAUCUUUUUCUUUAAUUUUUUUUUAAAUUUGAUGAACUAUUAAUACUAAUGGAAACCGAUUAUUUUACAUUUCUUUAAAUUAAACUCUUGUAUAUUAACAUACUUAAUAAAUCACAUUCUGUAUUAGCAAAAUUGCUCUCUUAAGAGAUAUAAAUUAACAACAAAAAUGGACAAAUUUUCCAUGAGGCUAAAUAAUAGGUAAUCAGUGCUAAAGUAUCAAAACACAGCGCAAUAUCAAGGUAUGAUUUUGGAUGUCAAGCUCAGAUGGAAAAAACAUAUAAAGAAGAAAAGAAUAGAAUAAGAAAACAAAAGUAUAGAAAACUAUUGACUCCUAGGUCGUAGCUCUGAUUUGUCAACAUAUAAUAAUUAAUAAGGUGUAUAAUAUAACGAAAUCAAAAAGCCUAUUUGAACAUACUUAGCACAUCAAACAAAUGCAAGCUUUCCAGAACGAGGUCCUUCGUAAUGUGACAGGUGCUUUCUGGUAUGACGGGUGCUUUCUUUCUGGUAGGGCUAAAAUUCCUCACUAUUGAUAUCGAUAAUUUGUCUUUGAAUCAUUUUUAACAGCUGAAUUAAAAAAAAUAUUUUUGUCCAUUUCAUAAGAAUAAGUACAAAAAUCAGUGUCUGGGGUGAAAUUUAAAUUUUCUUAAAUUUGAUAUUUAAACACGUUCAAAUUAGUGUAAUUGUAAUCUGGAUAUAGCUGGGAAUGGGAACGGUUUUGAAAAUUAAUAUCAAUUAAAUUAGGUUUAAAUUUUUUUCUGUAAAUUUGUAAAAAGAUACAUACACACGGGCUAUGAUUUUCAUUUAAACUAUUUCAUGCUAAAUUUGUAAUUUUGCAUUACAUACUUUACUUUGCAGCAUAAUAAUACAUGCGGGAUUGAUAAAUUUUUGAUUGUACAAAAAUAAAAAAAAAUUAAUCCAAUAGUAGAAUGUUUAAUAUAUGUAUUAUUUAUUGUAAUAAUAUCUUUACUCUAACUUUAUAAAAAAAAAUUUAAACAAAAUUCAAGUUGAUGUUGAUUUUCGCCUACGAUAAUACAAAUUGAGAUCGAUGUGUUUUACUUUACGUUCACGUUCAGAAAGAAACGUCAUUUCUUCUUUUAACAAUUUCUUUACAAAAUCUCUACAUAUGCAUAUUCAAACUGUUUCAAAAUAAUUUGAGAGCCAAUUUAACAUGAUAUACAAGACUCUAAAUUCAAUGUUAAAUUAAAAAUACAGUGUGUCAGCGCCCACAUUCGGACGUCCUGCAUCAAAAUCGCUUCUAAUUGUUCUGAAUCGUAUUCUUAAUCCAUAUCCAUUUUGUCUGCACUACAUUCAACUUUGAUGACCUUCCUUUUCAACAGUGCAUUGAUCAAAACUUUUAUAUGCUAUUACGCGAUAAGGACCUAAAAACUUUUUUUUUAUAUUGCGAUCAAAUUUCCUUUUAUUUUCAGCUUGUAUGUUUGCUAUAUCCUUUUUUGUUUGCUCUCUUAGUUCAGUUCUUUCGUUUUAAAAUUGUUCAGCACAGACAUAUUCGUAUCUUGUUGUGUUUUCAUUUUGGUUCCAAACAUUAAUGGUCGGGUCUGUAUGGCCCGAUGAAACGAGUUAUUGAAAAGAUUCAUUGCAAAUCGGUUACGUGGGUAACCAUUUUUCUAGUUUUUAAUGAUAACUUAGUUAACACUGUAAUUGUUGUGGUAUGCAGUCGCUCUACCUGAUCAUUACCUCUCUGUACUACUGUUGAAAUAACGUGGAUUUGGUACCAUACGUUUUACAAUUGUCACGAAAUUGGUUGGAAAUAAAUGCUCCCCUCCAUCUGUAAUAAUUCGUAUUCGUAAUACGGGUAACCGAAAGUGUUUGAAAUAAUUUCAGAUUUCUUGAUUGUUUCAUCAGCAUUCAUACUUUUUGUGGGAAAUAGCCAGCAAAAUUUUGAAAAACCAACAACGGCUAGAAUAUUUCUGCAUCUCUUUUUAGCAGCGCUCAUCGGGACCAAAUGAUCGAUAUGAAAAGUUUCCAGUGGUUUAUCGCCUUUCGGAAUAGGGUUAAAUAAACAUUCUGGUUUUCUAUUUUUCUUUCAGCUAAGAUGCAAUGGAUACAGCUGGCUAAACAGAAAUUGAUUCCUUUCUUUAAAUCAGGUAGGUAAAAUUGUUCAAUUUUAUUUUUUAUUUUAAUAUGAUGAAAAUGACCAUCUUCGUGAACAGUAAACUAGUAAGUUUUUCAUGCCGUCUGGUACAACAUAUAAUAAAUUUUCAUUUACAGUUUUGCGCAGAAUAUCGUGAUGUAUGCUUAAAUCUUUGUAUGGACAAUUUUUCAAAACUUCAACAAUGUCAUUUAGUUUUUUUCUUUGCGCUUCCUUUAACUAUUUACUAUGGUCCUAUUAAUUUGAACACCAAAAGAUACUGGCUUUCUGCUGAGUGCGUUUACAUGUCUAACUUUUGAGCUUUCUCGGUGUUCCACAUAGAACUCAAACCCUUCUAGUAGUUGGGACCAACGCGCAAUUCUGGUAACCAAGUCUUUUUUCUUUAAAGUCGUCGUAAAUGCUCUGCAAUCUGUAACGAGCUUAAAGUGUUUGCCAAGUAAAAACGUUCCAAAUUUCUAACAUCAUUUUUGAUUUUUUUAUAUGUAUUAGUUUCUUCUUUAGUUCGGUGAAAGUUUGUGUGCCAUAUAAAAUCGUUUUGUUACUGGGUGUGUCAUUUAUGCUGUUAAUAGCAUAGCUAAUUACAGACAGUUCAUCAAUUUCAGUUUGAGCAGCAAUAUCUAUCAUUUAAUAAAGGUAUUCGUGAAAUGUUUCAUUAGUAUUCUUUUUCCUCAUUUGCAGCCAUUUAUGAAUUUCUACACUAAAAAUCUUAGGCGAAAAUUUCUCAAGUAAUGAUUGUCUUAAUGAUCGUUUUCGCUAUUCCAUUUACGCGCACUCAUAGUUUCUUUGCCACUGAAUUUUCAUAUUAACAUUUCGAAGUUUAUGAAACUAAAUUUAAUCCUCGAAUCAUCAAAAUGUGCUGAUUCAUAAAUGCCUUCAACAAAGGUCGGUCGAUUACUGCUUUGUGGGCUGAGUCUGCGUCUUGAUUCCAUUCUUCAAUUAAUUUAUCUUAAAGGAUAUAUAUAAAACACAAAAUUAUAACGAUAAAAAAAAUAUAAAAUUUCAAUCUCACGUAAACUGCCUUGGCCUUUGAUAAAAAUUUACCACGUGGUAAUAUUAAGAUUUAAUCGAAUCAUUUAAACUUUACUUCAACAAAGUUAAAAAAAGUUGUUUUUAUUUUUUUUUUUUAAAUUUCGAAAAUUUAGAUUGAAGUUUUUAAAGCAAUUUAAAUUCAACUUUAAAAUAUUAAUGCCAACGUUACUUAUAUAUAUUAAAAUUUUGUUACUAUUUUAUUUUUUGUAUAUUUCAGCCACCAUAACCGGAAUAUAUAAUUACAGCAAAAUACUAUGAUGUUAUUCAAAAAAUAUCGUAUUCAGAAAUCAUGUACUUAAAACAUUCAAUCUUCCUUAAUAACAGUUAUACAGAUUUAUUUUUUAUUACUACCGCAAACCCGUAAAUAAUGAAGUUUUUUUUUGUUAAAUCACGUUUCAUUUUUUUUCAGUAAUCAAUAAUUGUAAAGUAUAUUUUCGAAACUUACUUGCUAUACCACGGAUUUGCCAGAUUUCAACUUUACGAUAUUACCAUCAUCCACGUGUUGUCUUUUCAGCAUCGUAAUAUUGUUUUCAAUUAUAGUUCUAGAUUUUUAUUUCCACCAGCACUGUUCAUUCACGUUUUCACGAUCCAAUAGCUUGUAAAUUUGAUUAAAUAGUCUUUUCAAUCAAAAAUUCAUGAUUUAAGUUUAAAGUUAUAUUAAUUAAUUCAUAUAUUUUAAGCUUAAUCUCGGUUGAGUCCCCUAUGUCCCCUAUGGGAUUGAGAAAUUUUUGAUUGUCCAAAAAUAAAAAAAAAUUAAUUCAAUGGUAGAAUGUUUAAUAUAUUUUUUAUUUUGCAAUAUUAUUUAUUGUUAGAGUUAUUAUUAAAUAUACUAAUUAUUCUUUACUUUAACUUUAUGAAAAAAAAUUUUAACAAAAUUAAAGUUAAUGUUGAUUUUCGCCUACGAUAUUAAAAAUUGACAUUGAUGUGUUUUACCCUACGUCCAAAUCAGAAAGAAACAUCAUUUCUUCUUUUAAUGAUUUCUUUACAAAAAUCUCGACACAUAUUCUAACUGUUUCAAAAUUAUUUGAGAGCCAAUUUAAUAUGAUAUACUAAGACUCUAAAUUCAAUUUCCAAUCGUUUGUAUAGAAAACAAGAGAGUUAUCGACAUCAUAAAAAAAACACGAAAUGCAAUAAGUAUAUAUGUAUAAUGAAAAGAAAAAAAAUGCAUGGUAAAUUAAAAAACAGAGUGUGUCAGUUUUUAGCGCCCACAUACAUAUAUUCAUACAUAUUGAAAAUAGAUUCAAGUAAAUAAUGAAAUCAUUUUGUUUAAACUUUCGUUCACAGUUUUGUAAAAAUUUUCGUAUAGGAGAAAAAUGUUGUGAAUUUGAAUGCCUUGACCCUCCUGGUGAAGAUAAUCUAUAUAGUGUAAGAAUGAAGAAAAAGGCCCAAAUUUUAGCUGGGAACAGUACCAAUUCAUCAAAUGAUAAUAAGUCUUCCAUUUUAAUUUUACAUAUUUUAAUUAUAAAUAGUUUUAAUUAUAAAUUUUACUGUAAAAUCAUAUUAUAAUUAAAUGCAUAAAUUUCAAUGUAUAUUUUAAUUUAAGAAUUUAAGGUGUGGAAAAUAUAAACUACAUAUGUAUAUAUUUACAAUAAAAACCAGCAGUAAAUUGUUUACAGUUUUGUAAAAUUGAAUUCAAUAAAAGCGCAUAUGAAAUAUAUAAAAUCUAUUCAAUAUUUUAAAUAUGUAUACUUACAAUAUUUCAAAAGCUUUAAGUUUUUCUUUGUACCUGCUCAAAUAUCAGUACGUUACAGUAUUUUGUAAUUUUUUUUUUAUUCCCGCUGAGAGCUCACUGGUAAAUACAUUACAUAAUGCAUGUAUGUACACAUCUUUUUAAAAUUUUUACUUGUUAAUAAAAGUUAUAUAUGUAUGUACGUUACUUUCUUUUCGUGCAAUCAAGAAUAAACAAGUACUCAAAACUAAUAAUGUACGAAAUAUCAGUUUUGCAUCCCCUUAUGGGAAAAAUUUGUACAUAUGUACAUAUGUAUAUCACCCUUUUCGCAGUUAAAUGACAUCAACUUGGAGUAGCUUGUAAUUUAUCUUUUCUGGUACAGUUAAAUAUUAAAGUAUGUGUCACCCGUAUCUUACAAUUUUAACAUUAUUUCAUCAGACUUUGUCUGACGCACAUAAUAGAGAUUUAUCUCUCAUCAGACAAAUUGUCAUUUUUUCAAAAUAUAGUAGCCAAAAAUAAUUUUUUGUGGAAAAUUAAAAGGGAAAUCAGCUGAUUUUUAUUUUGAAUUUAAUUUUCAUAGCAAAAUUAUUAAAUAUUGGCCUUCACAUAAAUAUUAAAUGUUGGCCUUCAUAUAAUUUCAGUCUGAUAUGUAAACAGCCAUCAGACUUUAUCGUACAUACAUAUGUAUAUAUUUUUUUUAGAUUUUGUCUUAUAUGACAAGACAGUGUAAAGAGAUAAUUAUGCAAUAUCACAUUUUAUGGAUAUCUAAAAAUCAUAGUGUUAAAAAUAGAAUAUUAUUUUAUAAAAGCUUAUAAAAAAAUUUAACAAGUGGAAAAAAGAAAAAAUCUGUUGAAAAAGAAAAUUAUGUAUAAAUUGUUACUCCCAUUUGUAAAAACAUUCAUAAAAAAGGAAACAAAACCGUAUGCAAUAAUUUAGAGGAAUAACCAUACUAAAUACUGCAUACAAGAUACUAUCUAAUGUAAUAUAUGAAAAAAUAAAACCAUAUGCUGAAGAAAUCAUAGGAGAGUUUCAAUGAGGAUUUUGAAGUGGUAGAUCAACUGUAGACCAAAUAUUCACAAUAAAGCAUAUCGUGGAAAAAUGUUAUAAAUAUAAUAAAAAUCUACACAUAUUGUUUAUUGAUCUUAAACAUGUAUUCGAUAGUUUAAGCAGAAACCGAGUAUUAGACGCACUCAUAAAUCAAGGAGUGCCCAAAAAACUUUCUAACUUAGUAAUGAUGACAAUGAAGAAUUCGAGAGCAAAAAUAUUAUUACAAUCUAUAUUAUCAUCUGAAUUUAAUGUUUAAUCGGGCGUAAGACAAGGUAAUGCACUUUCGACCUUAUUAUUUAUCAUGGUAUUAAAUUAUGCAAUUGAAAAAUUGGGUAAACGAAGAAACAUUUUUCUAGAGUCCCAUCAGAUAGUUGCGUAUGCUGACGAUAUAGCUAUUAUGUCAAGAAGUUAUAGAAAUAUGGCAGAAGUUUUCAUUAUGUUUGAAAUAGAAGAAGAAUAAGUGAUGACGAGUAUGAAAGAAGAAAUAAUGACGAGUUGAGCCAAUUAAUUGGGCUUGAAGAUAUUCCACGUUAUGCGAAGUCACAGCGCUUAAAAUGGGCUGGUCAUAAUAUCAACCCAAAAUAACAUCUUCCGUGCAAAACCUAUGGGUCCAAGAGCAAAAGGUCGACCAAAGACUAGAUGUUAAAUUAAAAUUACACAAGAGGAGAUAAUUUUACCAGGACCGGAUUUUUUUAAGCAAAAUGAGUUUGUGUUUGAUAAAGUGUGGCAUACAAACAAAUAUUUUAAAUGAUCUUUCUUUUUUGUAUUAUAUUUUUACAGUUUUUCUAGAAAUGAUAAAAAGAAAUGAUGAAAUGAAAUAUAUUUCCCUUUAUAGAGUGAAGAUUUGGUCACCAAAAAGAUAUAUGAAGGCGUCCCGAUGCCGUUGUCAAAUGAAUUUGUAUGUGAAGCUCAAUUAAUGAAUAGUAAUAACCUAUCUUACUAAAGUAAAAACUUCUACUUCAUAGAGUAAUUAAAAUUUGUUAAAUAUUAUACUGUUUUAGAGUCAUUAAAAUUUAUAUGUAUUUAUAUUUAUUGUUAUUAAUAUUGUUUAGAGUUGUUCAGUAAA